AACCCAUGGUGAGGGCACUAUCUUAAUAAAUCCUUAUACCUCUGCCAUACAUCAUAUAACGUCUCUAAGUCGAUCUGAAUGAAGGAAGAGAUAUCAUUCCUUAACUGGGCU
rfam:Gossypium raimondii chromosome 10, whole genome shotgun sequence.